AUGUCUUACUGCUUUUUUCUUUGUUUUCCCUUUUCUUUCCUGUCUGGUGCUAUUUUGUCUGAAGACCAGUCUGAGUUUCUUCUGAAAAGAAUGGGAGGGGUAGAGAAAACUGUAAUGACUGCAGCUUUGAGAAGACUGGCUUGUAGAAAAGAGCAUGGGAUGGAAGGAAAUGCAGUGGCAGUAAUGAGAAGAAAUGCAGUUUCAGAGUGCUUUGGCCUGAUACCAGUGACAUCUUUCCUAAUCUGCUGUCUCACAGGAGUUUCACAUCAUGUUCUAAGUCAUCUGCCUGUCCUGAGCCCAGGCCAUAACUCCCCAAGGAAUAAAACAUUUGAGAAUCCUAUCCCAUGCCCCUUCGUUGACUCACUUCUAACUGAACUUUCAAAAUGUUGUUCCAUGCUCUUCAGUCAGUACUACAGCUCACUGCAAGAUCAGUUCCUGGUCUGUACAGAGUAGCUAAAAACUCAUUUUUAUGCUGAGUUGGCAGAGAGGGGGACAGAGCAGAGUCCUGGCACUUAAGCUGCAUAAAUAUUUUUCUCUUACAUUAGGCCCCAUAAAUCUUGUUUGUCUUCUUAGGAAUUGCAUAAUGCAUCAGCAGAUUUUUGAGGGACAGUAUUUCUUCCCUGGUCUAAAAUCUAUACAGUAUGGAAGUCUGAGCUGCUGCCACCGCUGUUUCCCAUUUUCCAAGCAAAGAGGAUUUUGUUCCUGGAAGCACUGUGUUUUGCUAAGUAUGAUAACCACAAAAUUGCUGUUUACAUCACAGAUUUGCAGGGAACAGACAGCAAGUCUCUUUCUUGUUAGUGUAAAGAAGAAAAGAAGCUUGAGGCUCCAGGUUACUUCAGUGGGAGAUGGCUGGCGGUCUGAGCUGGCGUGGGACGUGUCAGCCAAUGGAAUAUGACACCAGCAGUGGUUUUGCUGUACCAGGAAGGGAUGCAGAGUGCCACAGAAGACUGAAUUUCUUGGCCUUCUUUUGUUAUACGUUAAGCUUUGCCUGAACUGUGUGCUUUCCUCUGCUGCCUCCCAACAAGCUUUUCCAGUUUGAGCACCAGAGAUUAGAAAGAACAGAACUGACAGUGCUGACAGUAAUCAAAACCAAUAAAGAAGCUUUGUGGGAAGGAAAAGCCA
rnacentral:lncRNA from 1 species